ACACAGACAACGCCUUCGUGGCAACUCUAAAGUGGCCAAAGCCAGCAAUUACUGUAAAUAGAGACUCAAUGUAGAUGCUUUAGUUGGGAAACUGUCAGGUGAGUUGCAAAAGUAAGUAAGUCAGUUUCUGAACAAUGUAAUAAUUUGUAUGACAAGUGCUUAUCUGCCAUUUAUUCAUAGUAAACUUGCAAAGUGUGACAGACCAAUUGGUCACCUAGGACUGGUACGUCUCCCACCCGUCACCUCACUAAAAGACUAUAAUCACUACUAUAUGCACCUCCAGUCAAUGCCCCUUUUACGCGGACAAGGACUCAUCAUCAAGGCCAGCCGGUAACUCGCUGAGGCAAGGCACGUCUGACCAGGAGCAACCCUCAAACACUCUGGAACUACUGAUUGGAUCAGAAAGUUGCCACAGCCUGGGAAAACUAUGAUUAGGGCGCUCUCCCAGAGCCACCUAUCAGGGCACGAUUUGGAGGUGUGACAGAGGAUGUGGUGAGGCAUCGAAUGACACCAAGGACUUGAGAGAGAUCAAUGUACCGGCAGAAAGCAGCAUCAUUUUAGGUGCCCGGGAUUUCUACCCAGCACUAUGGAACUGUAUGCUGGAUUGGAGGAUUGUCAUGGUCCGAUGAAAACAUUACCUUCCAGCUAACUUGGGCUAGACACUUCUGAUCUGAGUGCUUUUUGGACAGAGUGGGCGCUCAGGAGAGAGCUUUCCAGGAAUGGCACUAUUGUGGGGAUUUUGGAACAGGAAUCCUAGUUUUCAUGUGUUUUUGUUAACCUGGUACCAAGGUGUCUGGCCACUAAUUAAAUUAUCUACUUAGGUACAGACACCAAGGUGCCAGGCAUGUCGCAAUACCAUUAUUCUCCUAGGGAUCUACUGUUGGAGGCCCCAGGUAUAAAUGUGUGACUGCUGUGCAGAUAUAUUUCUCAGGUUCAAUAUGCUCUGAUUUACACUAUCAAUGCGUAGGUAUGAAUUACUGCCAAUAUUCAAUAUUUUAUGAUAAAAGGCUUUACUGUUAAAUGUGUUCAAAGGAUGGCUACAAUUUACUGUCUCCAGGGCAACCGUGGCUUUAGAUUGUUACUGUAGUUGUGCCAGGCAUGUCGCAAGGUGCCAGGCAUAUCGAAA